AUGAUGAACACAAAGGGAAAGAGGAGAGGCACCCGAUACGUGUUCUCUAGGCCUUUUAGAAAGCAUGGAGUUGUUCCUUUGGCCACCUAUAUGCAAAUCUGUAAGAAAGGUGAUAUUGUAGACAUCAAGGGAAUGGGUACUGUUCAAAAGGAAUGCCCCACAAGUGUUACCACUGCAAAACUGGAAGGGUCUACAAUGUUACCCAGCAUGCUGUUGGCAUUGUUGUAAACAAAAAAGUUAAGGGCAAGAUUCUUGCCAACAGAAUUAAUAUGCAUAUUCAGCACGUUAAGCACGCUAAGAGCCGAGAUAGCUUCCUAAAGGAAGCUAUCAGAAAAUGGAAAGUUAUCAGAAAAAGAAGGAAAAUGAUCAGAAAAAGAAAGAAGCCAAAGAGAAAGGUACCUGGGUUCAACUGAAGCGCCAGCCUGCUCCACCCAGAGAAGCAUAUUUUGUGAGAACCAGUGGGAAGGAGCCUGAGCUGCUGGAACCUAUUCCCUAUGAAUUCAUGGCAUAA
rnacentral:lncRNA from 1 species